rnacentral:rRNA from 1 species
ACGUAGGAGGCGAGCGUUAUCCGGAUUCACUGGGCGUAAAGCGCGUGCAGGCGGUUCGGUAAGUUGGGCGUGAAAGCUCCCGGCUUAACUGGGAGAGGUCGUUCAAUACUACUGGACUAGAGAGUGGUAGAGGGAGGUGGAAUUCCGGGUGGAGUGGUGAAAUGCGUAGAGAUCCGGAGGAACCCCAGUGGCGAAGGCGACCUGCUCGGCCUUGCCUGACGCUCAGACGCGAAAGCAUGGGGAGCGAACGG